ensembl:lncRNA
GGGAGGCAAAUAACACAGCUCAGGGACAGCGUGUAGGAGGAAUAGUGUGCGAGGAGGGCAGCAGUCAGAAUGGCACCAAAACCAAAACGGGGAUCUGCUGCUGUUUCUCCUGGUCUGGCAGGCUGAGGUGGGUGGUACAAGUGAUGAUCUAAGUCUGGACUUGUCAUGGGGCCAUUGCUUUUCAUCAGUCUCUGGAAGCUGGAAUCCAUCUCAGCACUGGUAUGGUCUACCUUCCUUUCUUGCAUUUAAAUCAGUUUACUCCAUUUCCCGUGGUCCAUCCUACAUGACCCAAAUCAGGGAUUGGAUCCAAUUGUAUUUUCCUCUUCACAGAACUGAGAUAAAUGGGAAGCCUCACCUUGAUGUUCAGCAUUCCCAGCAUCUAGAGGCUGUCAUUUAAAUAACUUCAGAGUAGCUUCAUUUGAACAGGGUAUAAUGACUGUGCUCCCACCUCCCAUUUCGGAAGGGAAAUACCUUUGACUGCGAGUGAGGUAAGAACUAGAAAUCACCAGGAAAAGCCUGGUUAGAAGAGAGAGAGAGAGCAAAAAGGGGGAAGACCAUGGGAAACCUCUGCCUUUAACGUGAGCUAGUGCCUUUCCUCCCUGCGUCAAGCAUCCUCAAUUUCCUGUUUAACUUAAAGUCAACACAUCUGUCACGUUAGCAUCUCCCGCUGCCUGGUUCCCCUGAGCCACCCCCUCCCAUCUGCUCUGCCUCCAGCCUCCCCCUGCUCCUAUUGCUUUGUGCCUGGGGUGUGCGUGCAUGCGCCUGUGUUUGCUGUUGCCUGAUGGACUUUUCCACUGCUUGUGCUCCGGUACCUGGAUGCGGGCGCAGUGGGAUGAUCGGCUUGGCUUGCAGAGCAUUUACUUCUAAUCUCCGGCAGAAAGGGGAGACCCUUUCAGGAGCAGCUCUGCGGGCAGGAAAGAGGGGAAAUGGCUGGUGAAUGGCUGCAGUGAGAUAUUUCACAGUUCUGGACAUGACCUUCACCUCCAUGAUGAAUCAGGAAAAACCUGUCAAGUCCUCCUAGCUCCCCGGCUGUGCCAUUUGCUGUUCCCUUGCUGUUCACCAGACAGCAGCCCCAGCUCUUCCCACCCAAAGCAAGGAAGAAGUCAGCAAACCACACAU